UGGCCACCUCUCUCUAGCCAGAGUUAGGCACCAGAGACGGAGAUGGGACCCACUGUGGCCCCUACCCUUCCCUUCCCGAGCCUAUGAGGGAGUUAGAAAGAUAACGUAUCCAUAAAUGAAAAAAUAUUUGGAAAUCGAAACAGUGCACACUCUGCUAUGCCAACUGGGCAGACAAUGCUAGGAAUCAACUGGGGACUCGUGAAGUUUCCUACAUAGAGAAUGAGGUCAUCUUUGCAUUCAUGUGUCAAAAUACAUUCUGUCCCAGCUAUAUACAAGGUAUAUUGCUUUUA
rnacentral:lncRNA from 1 species